rnacentral:rRNA from 1 species
AAGACCUUACGCUUUUGGAGCGGCCGAUGUCUGAUUAGCUUGUUGGUGGGGUAAAGGCUUACCAAGGCUUCGAUCAGUAGCUGGUCUGAGAGGACGACCAGCCACACUGGGACUGAGACACGGCCCAGACUCCUACGGGAGGCAGCAGUGGGGAAUUUUGGACAAUGGGGGCAACCCUGAUCCAGCCAUGCCGCGUGAGUGAAGAAGGCCUUCGGGUUGUAAAGCUCUUUCAGCCGGAACGAAACGGUUACGGUUAAUACCCAUGACUACUGACGGUACCGGAAGAAGAAGCACCGGCUAACUACGUGCCAGCAGCCGCGGUAAUACGUAGGGUGCGAGCGUUAAUCGGAAUUACUGGGCGUAAAGCGUGCGCAGGUGGUUUUGUAAGUCAGAUGUGAAAGCCCCGGGCUCAACCUGGGAACU